ensembl:lncRNA
GGUUGAAGAGUUAGAGAGGGAGGGUGUGUGUGUGGGGGGGGGCACGACGCAGAGUGGCGAAUGAACACUGUGGUUUUGCGAGGUUGGCACAGUGCCAUCCACUCAGCGCCGGUGCCAAAGAGGGCGUGUAGGCAGGGUGGCACUACAGAAGAGAGAGGAGGAGAGACAGAUAACAAGAGAAAAGAGAGGCAUCAUCCUCCAAACGAAAUGUUCCCGAGCACUGGAUUCAAAAAGUUGGAGCCCUUUGAAGAUCCAUCCGCCAGCUCGUCAGCAUGGCAACUGUGCUUCGCCAUCCUGCGUUCCGCUGUCUCCUUCGUGACCGUGCCAGGCUCUAAGUAGGCACAUCCCCUAGAGAGUAAGCAGCAGAUGCCCCAAAGUCGAUGCCACUCAACGCGGGUACGAUGGCAUCUGCUCAGUCAUAAUGGAGAUAUGCGACAUGUCUUGUUACUCUCGUUGGCACGCGCCAACCUUCGGCAGUGUGCCAGGAUCUCUGCACUGCAGUAUGCCGCUGGGAAGUUGGCGGUGGCUUGGAAAUGGCAGAGUGCCAGCACGUUCCUGCGGUAACCAGCCCCUGACGCAUGUCACUUGGCAAAGACAAAGAGCCCUAGGGACGAAACACAAAACAAGAUUGAAAAACACAGUGAUCCGACAGCUUAAUUAACACUCACAGAGUUUGUUGGGUUAAUUAGUGUGACAGAUUUGGUGAGGAGGAAUAUGGCAGGAACACUUGUGAGAACAAAAGUGAUGAGCAACCCAGACUGAUGGAAUGUCAUCGGAUGCCAUCAGUAACUCUGCCAACCCUGUGCCAAUGGCACUUUACAUUCAACAAGGUUUGUAAAAGGAUAAAUGGAAUGAAAAGGAAAACAUCAAGAAACUGUCAUUCAAAAACAAGUUUGUUUCAAAUUUUGGACAAGACAGAAGAUUGAGGAAACAAGUGUGGAAACAAGCAAACAGGAAGAAGCUAAAGAAACCACAGGCCUUGACUUACCAUACAGUGACUCAACAGAUCAAUUCAAACACUAAAGUCAUUAUGGAAUAUGGAUUUUAUGUACUACAAAAACAAAACAGAAUGGUUUGCACAAAUGAACACAAGCAAGAGUGAAUUUUCUCUGGUACGUCGGGAACACCAAAAGGAUACAUGUUGGCGGGUGUUAGUAUGGUGAAAUUUACCAGGAGGAUGCACUACUUUUGCAAUUUUAUGGACCUACUAGAGCUUUCCAAAUGCAAGGACAGGACCUUAAACCAUCAUAUAUGCAGUAAUGAGUGAUUUUGUGCUUGAAUACCUGUUCUGAGGAUCCUCAAAACUUCCUGUUGAGUCAGAGAGAAGGUAAUGAGAGUGAGUGGAGAAUUCAGUCCCUCACUGGAUGUGUUUGACAUUGUAGAGGAGCAUAAAUAAUGCAGAUUGUCUCUCCUCCUCUUCCUUCUGGUGCUUUCUGAAGGAAGGGAUUUACACACCUUUGUGCUUCGAAUCUUUCAUUGGCAUUGUUCUCGUUAAAGCGACGCAGGAUUGGUUCCGAAACGGGCAUUGUUUUCAGCAUAACCUUCGAUAAACAAGUUCAAAUUAGACAUUAACAACCUCAUGAAAUGAGCCGAUUAAUUUGCGGGGCUUUUUUUCGCUUUUACGUCUUUCUUUGUACCGAUUGUGGACAAUUGUGUACGGAUAUGCUAAUCACGCUGUAUUAAUGAGCUAUUUCUGCUGCAGUAGUCCUGCAAUGGAGUGACAGAGACGAAGAUGGGAUUUACUAGAUGUAAAGAGAGAAAAAGAGCAAGUCACCGUAGCCACCAGAUCCAGUCUGUAUCCAAGUCAGAGGGUCACUGCAGUCACCCGGAUCCAGUAUGUAUCCAGCCCAGAUGGUGGAUCAGCACCUAGAAAGGACCUCCACAGCCCUGAAAGAUAGCGGAGACCAGGA